GCCAGGCAUGGUGGCUCAUGCCUGUAAUCCUAGCACUUUGGGAGGCUGAGGCGGGUGGAUCACCUGAGGUCAGGAGUUUGAGACUAGCCUGGCCAACAUGGUGAAACCCUGUCUCUA
rnacentral:SRP_RNA from 2 species